rnacentral:rRNA from 1 species
ACUCCUACGGGAGGCAGCAGUGGGGAAUAUUGGACAAUGGGGACCGUGCAUCCAGCCAUGCCGCGCUGUGUGAAGAAGGCCUUUUGGUUGUAAAGCACUUUAAGCGAGGAGGAGGCUUACCUGGUUAAUACCUGGGAUAAGUGGACGUUACUCACAGAAUAAGCACCGGCUAACUCUGUGCCAGCAGCCGCGGUAAUACAGAGGGUGCAAGCGUUAAUCGGAUUUACUGGGCGUAAAAGCGCGCGUAGGUGGCUAAUUAAGUC